rnacentral:rRNA from 1 species
AUUGAACGCUGGCGGAAUGCUUUACACAUGCAAGUCGAACGGCAGCACGGGAGCUUGCUCCUGGUGGCGAGUGGCGGACGGGUGAGUAAUACAUCGGAACGUGCCCUAUCGUGGGGGAUAACACAUCGAAAGAUGUGCUAAUACCGCAUACGACCUGAGGGGGAAAGGGGGGGAUCGCAAGACCUCGCGCGGUUGGAGCGGCCGAUGUCGGAUUAGCUAGUUGGUGGGGUAAAAGCCUACCAAGGCGACGAUCCGUAGCUGGUCUGAGAGGAUGAUCAGCCACACUGGGACUGAGACACGGCCCAGACUCCUACGGGAGGCAGCAGUGGGGAAUUUUGGACAAUGGGGGCAACCCUGAUCCAGCCAUUCCGCGUGAGUGAAGAAGGCCUUCGGGUUGUAAAGCUCUUUCGGCAGGAACGAAACGGUGGGUCCUAAUACGAUCUGCUAAUGACGGUACCUGAAGAAGAAGCACCGGCUAACUACGUGCCAGCCGCCGCGGUAAGAC